CCCAGGAACGAAACAAGACAGGACUAGAAUGACCACAGGAACCCAGUAAAUCACACAAACUCAAGAGUCCAGGCUACUUGGAGAGAGACCCUGGAUCCAUGAGGAUGAACAGUGUCCCCUUAGGAAAAUGCUUACCUCUGCUGAGUUCUGAAUGGUCUUCCCUCUGCUGGACUCCAGACACCCUGGAAGAAUCACUCUCCCAUGCCGAAGCCAAUCUCACCUUUCAUUUACAGUCCAGGAAACAUGGUCUCCUCGAGGGUCCUGGGCGCUCGAGCAGAGUCCCCCCUCUGCAGCCCCGGCGGCCGCGGAGCAGCUGAACCGCGCGGCCCUUUGUGAGCACCGACCCAGCUUUGUGUCUCGGGCGGUCGGGUUCGGCACAUUGCAAUCGCUCGCCAAAAACACAC